CUAACACAGCGUUCCUAAAACAGUUUCAGAGGUGACAGCAAACAGUGAAAUUCAUUUGGAUUUACAGUUCACUCGCAAUACUAGUCUGAGUCAAUACUGAAGGACAGAUAACACGAGAGGGAAAAUUAUCCAGCCAUGCAUUCGAAGUGCUUUGUGGUUCUCCUAUUGGUGUAUAUUACACUGUUCAUCGACAGGGAUUCUUCCACGGAGGCACUCGAUUUGUCCCAUGCAACGUCCAUGAAGGAAGUGAGAGGACGAAAAUGCAAAGACGGUGAAGUUUGGAAGAGCCCACGUGACCCGAGCUCUAUUUGUGAAUGCUGGGGAGACUCCUUCGUCUGUAUGUCUGGAUAGCACGUGACCCAUACCACGUGAUCCAUGCCACGUGAUCCUGGAAACGGGGACGAAACAAAAUCUGCAAAAUAUAAUUUAUACAACUACGGUGCCUUUCGUGACACAGAUUUAUAUUUAGUUCCAGCGCAUUAAACUUUUCCAAAUGUUAAGUUAUAAAAGGGACAUUUAGGGAAACAACGCAUCUUAUUAACUGAUAAUUAUUUCUUUAGGAUUUGUACAAAGACAGAUAUCACUGCAAGAUAUCCAUAUUGGAUGAUUGUAUGAAAUUGAGAAAAGAUGGAGAAUCCGUAUUUACUCUUAUAUAGCACUGUAGUCAUUGCAGAAGUGAGAGGUAAACAUAUAACUUCACGCAACCUGUGGCCAAUUUAAAGUAGUUUCACCGAAACCAUAUUAAUAGAAAAAUUGGAAAACGUUUUACAGCAAAUCUUACUUGCGAAUAAAAUUCACCAUAUGAACUUAUAAGUUUUUUUCACCCAAAAGCCAAAUCAAAAAAGAUAGAAAUGAAUUUUAUUAAAUUAUUACUGCUAUUUGAGGUCGGGCAACCAUGCUGAAAAGUGUGCUGGAAAUAUUGGAUGGUAAAAUACCACUCAAUUCCAAAAUCCAUAAAACACAUUUUCUAAAGGUAAAUAUCCCAAGAAAAUCUCAAUUUUCUAACAAUUCAAUUUUCUGAUAAUUCAAGCCAGUAAUCAUAAUCCAAUAAAACUAGUAGACAUCCCUUUCAUGUAUAUGUUACAGGCAAUUUUGCAAUCAAGUCUUGAUGGCCUACAAUCAGCUCAAUAAACCAGGGAAAUCAGACUUAAUACAGACA